AACGCACAUUGCACUCUCUGGUAUUCCGGAGAGUAUGCUUGUUUGAGUAUCAGUAAACACCUCAAAUCUCUACUUUAUUGUAAAGAAUUGGACUUGAGCAAUCCCAACUGUCGCAAGAGAGGAGGGUUGCUUGAAAUGCAGGUGCAGCUAGACAUUCUUCUGAGCUAAAAGCAUAUUUAUUUAGUCCCGUCAAACGGAUUAUUACUUUUGCUCUAGCUAAUAUAAAGGUUGAUUGCGCUACAUGCUGACUGAUGCAGGAUUCACAAGAACCGCAAGGUUUUUGUAAACUCGAUCUCAAAUCAAGUAAGACUACCCGCUGAACUUAA
rnacentral:misc_RNA from 1 species